UACGUAGGGCGCAAGCGUUGUCCGGAAUUAUUGGGCGUAAAGAGCUCGUGGGCGGCUUGUCACGUCGGGUGUGAAAGCCCGGGGCUUAACCCCGGGUCUGCAUUCGAUACGGGCAGGCUAGAGUGUGGUAGGGGAGAUCGGAAUUCCUGGUGUAGCGGUGAAAUGCGCAGAUAUCAGGAGGAACACCGGUGGCGAAGGCGGAUCUCUGGGCCAUUACUGACGCUGAGGAGCGAAAGCGUGGGGAGCGAACAGG
rnacentral:rRNA from 1 species